AGUGUUUCUCGGGCUUGAUUGGUAAGAUCAAGUGUAGUAUCUGUUCAUUAUCAGAUUUAUAUCUGAUACGUACCACUAAAUCUGGGGACUCAUAUAUAUUAAAUGAGAUUUUUGGCAACAGAGGAGAUGAAAGAAAAAAGUCUUGGCUCUUGAUCCUGCCAGGCAAUAUCAGACCUGAGUAAUU